GAUCACCUCAUCUAGCUGAGCUCGGAUGCCAAAGAACUCCAUAAAACUUUUUAUCCAGCGUCCAGGUAGACUAGGAAUGUAAAAUAUGCAGAAGAAGCUAAACCUAAUGUACUCUUCAUUCAACUUCGGGUAUUUCUUGCAUAAACGACUUACUUUACCGUCAAUCCACUUGAAAGUCUGAUGAAUUCUCUGUUUUGUGACUCUAAAACAGGAUUCAAUGACACUUCCAAGUUUUGUGAAUGCGGGGCCAAUGUAAAGUAUGUUGAUAACCUUGUCAAAGGCGAUGUGUAUGAAACCCUUGGUAUGGUGG
rnacentral:lncRNA from 1 species